rnacentral:lncRNA from 1 species
GAUCAGAUUUAUUUUAUCUAAACCGGUGUUUCCUAAUCUUUCUUAAAUCGUGACUCAUCUCUAUGUCUCAAAACUCUAAUACUCCCUAGUACAGGGCUUCUUAAACUUUUCCACUUGGUGACUCCCUUUAACAGAGCAAAUAUUUUUGCGACCAUGGAUAUCAAGGGUUCUCAAUCUUUUUCCUUCGUGGGCCGCAUACGUUUGUUUCUUACAUCAAACAGGCUGCAACAUUGGAGCCGCGGACGGUGCCGGACAUUCCACGCGAUCGGCUCUCAAGGUCGUACGGGGGGAGGUGAGAUUGAGGUUGGGUGGUGGUUAAUUGCCGUAAGUAAAUUUUUACCACUAAAGGAAAAAAGAAGGUAAAUUCAUUUUUGUCGCAGUUUGAGUAUGGUUGAUAUAGACUCUAUAACAGUUGUUCCCAAACUUUUUUGAUUCUCGACACCUCUGCUAAAUUCAAAUUUUCCCAAGGCAUCCUAUGUCAAAUUCUAACAAUUACACUUUGCAAAAUAGGUAAUAAUUUUGUUAUAAGGGUUAGGUAAAAAUUAAUAAAACACAUCAUAAAUUGUAAAAAAAUGUAAUUGAACAAAUUCAAUUAAUUAUAAUAAUUAGUAAGAUGGAUGAACCUUUUGGUCACCGCAUAUUAUCUCAAAUCUUGGAAUUAAACUGGACAUAGUUACUACCCUCAUUUUCUUCUUCAUAUUGAUAUUCGCAUGAUAUUUAGAUUUUAUCGUAGCAACUGCCGAAAACCCAGCUUUACACUGAUAAGAUGUAAAAAGAAUUAAAAUUAUAACAAUUGUAUAAUAUUUCCUCCGAGGCUUACACUUUGGAAACCUAAUUUAUAUUAUUUUCUGUUUCACUAUUAUAAAUUUAAAUACUAUACGUGUUGUAUUGUUAAACUAAUUUUAAAUUAAUUUUUGGUCGUUGCGCGUCCAGAAAUAUUUUUUUUUUGUUAAAAUUUCUACGAUCCCUAAAUUUAAUUACGCGACCCACACUUUGAGAAGCCCUGUCCUAGUAUAUCAUAAUAACCCGGCUACUAUUAUAAUUUAACAUUAAUAAGUAUUUCUAAUAAAAAAUGAAACUGAUUUUAAUUAGCCUUUCUUUAAGAAAUAUAAAUUUUAUCUUGAAUGUUAAUUUGAAUAAGAAUUUUUGACAAGAAACACUGAUAUGAUGACGUAUAUUAUUGAUUUGCUCAUUGUCCCAUUGUUGGGAAACACUGAUUUGCACUUAUGUGAUUAAUAUUGUGUAAAUAAAAAUAUUGAAAUGUAUUGUCAA